rnacentral:rRNA from 1 species
UACGUAGGGGGCAAGCGUUGUCCGGAAUCAUUGGGCGUAAAGAGCGUGUAGGCGGCCCGAUAAGUCCGCCGUGAAAGUCCAGGGCUCAACCCUGGAAUGCCGGUGGAUACUGUCGGGCUAGAGUCCGGAAGAGGAGAGUGGAAUUCCUGGUGUAGCGGUGAAAUGCGCAGAUAUCAGGAAGAACACCCGUGGCGAAGGCGGCUCUCUGGGACGGUACUGACGCUGAGACGCGAAAGCGUGGGGAGCGAACAGG